rnacentral:rRNA from 1 species
AGGAAUGUAUAGCAAUAGCUAGUUGCAUCAUUGUAAAGAUGAUGCAAUAUUGACUAUGUUGAAUAAAGUUCUAGGUAGAAUUAUGAUAAUGACAUUGUCUGCCUAUGUGUCUUGACCAAAUUACGUGCCAGCAGUCGCGGUAAUACGUAGAAGACUAGUGUUAUUCAUGUUUAAUCGGUUUAAAGGGUACCUAGACGGCAAAUCAAGCUUUCCGAGCAGAAAAAAAAAAAGGACUAAUUUGCUAGAGUUACUUGCGGGGGGGUUUUAAAGUACUGCUGGUGUAGAGAUGAAAUUCUUUAAUACCUAUUUUCGAAAGAAUUAUAAUGGCACAGGUAUAGGCGAAGGCAUCCCCCUAUGUGAUAACUGACGUUGAGGGACGAAGGCUUUAUACAGCGAACGGGAUUAGAUACCCCAUUAGUGAAAGCAGUAAACGAUGAAUGUCAUAGAUUAGCUAGAUUGGUUCAUUCUAUAAAUGAAAGUGUAAGCAUUCCACCUCAUGAGUAAUAUGGCAACAUUGGAAUUGAAAUCAUUAGACCGUAUCUGAAACCAGUAGUGAAGUAUGUUGUUUAAUUUGAUGAUCCGCAAAAAACCUUACCACAAUUUGAAUAUAUAUAUUUUUUAUUGUUUUGUCAUUAAUUUACUUCUCUUUAGCUAUUAAAAUUAAUAAAGAGGCAAUAAGAUAUAUUUACAAGCGUUGCACGGCUGUCUUCAGUUAAUGUCGCGAGAUUUUGGUUAGAUCCAUUAAAUUAACGUAAACCCUUACUUUAUUUUUAGAUAGAGUUGUUCCCCACUAUAUUGGAUACGAU